rnacentral:rRNA from 1 species
CAGCCGCCACGGUAAAACGAAGGGUGCAAGCGUUACUCGGAAUUACUGGGCGUAAAGCGUGCGUAGGUGGUGGUUUAAGUCCGUUGUGAAAGCCCUGGGCUCAACCUGGGAAUUGCAGUGGAUACUGGGUCACUAGAGUGUGGUAGAGGAUAGUGGAAUUUCCGGUGUAGCAGUGAAAUGCGUAGAGAUCGGAAGGAACAUCUGUGGCGAAGGCGACUAUCUGGGACAACACUGACGCUGAGGCACGAAAGCGUGGGGAGCAAACAGGAUUAGAUACCCCCGUAGUCCCUGUCUCUUAUAC